GAUGGUCUGAUCUCUCCCUUGGCCAGAAUUAACGGGGCAAUUCCUAACCCCUGUUGGUCCUCAGAAUCACUUGGCCUAUGCACACUCCCGCUAAACCACUGAAGUCCAAUUUCUGGGAGCUCAGCCAGGGAAUGUGUAUUUUUAAACAAGCCCCCUAGGUUACUCUGAUAAGUGCAAAGUCAGAGAGCGCUGCUCUCAUGCACUGAGCCUGAGCACUCUUCUAUUAAUAAAAAAGGAGAGGAGAAUCCUGGGUGUCUUAAGGUGGCAGUUGGGUGCCCUUCGCCUUCUGGCGGCAGAAGAGCAGAGCCAGGCUCUAAGCACCUGCACCCACCGUUGGGCUCAGGAUCUGCGCUGGAGAAUAGAAGGGCUAAUUUAGUCAUUCAUGCCUUUUUAGAGCAAAUUACAUGUGGAGAAGGUGGGGCACACUGAAUUUUAUUUUAGCCAAAUGCCCCUUAUCUCCUUAUACAAUUGAUAUUUUUAUAUUGAACAUUAGAGGAUUGGUCAUUUGUCAUCAAGUCGUCUGUAAUACAGAAAACGAUAAAUACAACCUAACAGUUCAAACAUGACGAGUUAAAUAAAUGAUGGUUAAAAAUA
rnacentral:lncRNA from 1 species